GAUGAACGCUAGCGGGAGGCUUAACACAUGCAAGUCGAGGGGUAUAGUAGCAAUACUAGAGACCGGCGCACGGGUGAGUAACGCGUAUGCAACCUGCCCUUUACAGGAGGAUAGCCCGCUGAAAGGCGGAUUAAUACUGCAUAAUAUGGUACAAUCGCAUGGUUGAACCAUAAAAGCUGAGGCGGUAAAGGAUGGGCAUGCGUGACAUUAGCUAGUUGGCGGGGUAACGGCCCACCAAGGCUACGAUGUCUAGGGGUUCUGAGAGGAAGGUCCCCCACACUGGUACUGAGACACGGACCAGACGCCGACGGGAGGCAGCAGUGAGUAAUAUUGGUCAAUGGGCGCGAGCCUGAACCAGCCAUCCCGCGUGCAUGAAGUCGGCCCUAUGUGUUGUAAACUGCUUUUGUGCAGGAAGAACGUACAGAUCGUGAUCUGUAGUGACGGUACUGCAUGAAUAAGCACCGGCUAACUCCGUGCCAGCAGCCGCCGUAAUAC
rnacentral:rRNA from 1 species